rnacentral:rRNA from 1 species
UGGUCAAUGGACGAGAGUCUGAACCAGCCAAGUAGCGUGAAGGAUGACUGCCCUAUGGGUUGUAAACUUCUUUUAUAUGGGAAUAAAAAAGGCCACGUGUGGCCUAUUGUAUGUACCUUAUGAAUAAGCAUCGGCUAAUUCCGUGCCAGCAGCCGCGGUAAUACGGAAGAUGCGAGCGUUAUCCGGAUUUAUUGGGUUUAAAGGGAGCGUAGGCGGGCGAUUAAGUCAGCGGUAAAAUAGUGUGGCUCAACCAUGCUCUGCCGUUGAUACUGGUUGCCUUGAGUGCACACAAGGAAGAUGGAAUUCGUGGUGUAGCGGUGAAAUGCUUAGAUAUCACGAAGAACUCCGAUUGCGAAGGCAGUCUUCUGGGGUGUUACUGACGCUGAGGCUCGAAAGUGCGGGUAUCAAACAGGAUUAGAUACCCUGGUAGUCCGCACCGUAAACGAUGAAUACUCGCUGUUGGCGAUAGACUGUCAGCGGCCAAGCGAAAGCAUUAAGUAUUCCACCUGGGGAGUACGCCGGCAACGGUGAAACUCAAAGGAAUUGACGGGGGCCCGCACAAGCGGAGGAACAUGUGGUUUAAUUCGAUGAUACGCGAGGAACCUUACCCGGGCUUGAAUUGCAGAGGAAGGAUUUGGAGACAAUGACGCCCUUCGGGGUCUCUGUGAAGGUGCUGCAUGGUUGUCGUCAGCUCGUGCCGUGAGGUGUCGGCUUAAGUGCCAUAACGAGCGCAACCCUUGUUGUCAGUUACUAACAGGUUUCGCUGAGGACUCUGACAAGACUGCCAUCGUAAGAUGUGAGGAAGGUGGGGAUGACGUCAAAUCAGCACGGCCCUUACGUCCGGGGCUACACACGUGUUACAAUGGGGGGUACAGAGGGCCGCUGUCCGGUGACGGUCGGCCAAUCCCUAAAACCCCUCUCAGUUCGGACUGGAGUCUGCAACCCGACUCCACGAAGCUGGAUUCGCUAGUAAUCGCGCAUCAGCCAUGGCGCGGUGAAUACGUUCCCGGGCCUUGUACACACCGCCCGUCAAGCCAUGAAAGCCGGGGGUACCUGAAGUACGUAACCGCGAGGAGCGUCCUAGGGUAAAACUGGUGAUUGGGGCUAAGUCGUAACAAGGUAGCCGUACCGGAAGGUGCGGCUG